GGCUCCUUGGCUCAGGGGUAAAGCAUCUGCCUGCAGUGCAGGAGACCGGGGUUCAGUCCCUGAGUCA
rnacentral:tRNA from 1 species